AUUGAACGCUGGCGGCAGGCCUAACACAUGCAAGUCGAGCGAGCGGCGGACGGGUGAGUAAUGUAUGGGAACCUGCCUGUUGGCGGGGGAUAACUACUGGAAACGGUAGCUAAUACCGCAUACCAUCACAUGAACCCAUAUGGGAUUAGCUAGUAGGUAAGGUAACGGUUUACCUAGGCGACGAUCCCUAGCUGGUGUGAGAGGAGGAUGGGCAACCGUGGGACUUAGAUACGGCCCAUACUCCAAGGUGAGGAAGAGUGGGGGAAUAUUUGAAAAGGGGGGAGAGCCGGACGCAGCCAUGCCGGGUGUAUGAGGAAGGCCUGCGGGUUGUAAAGUACGUUCAUUCGGGAGGCGUUACCGACAGAAGAAGCACCGGCUAACUCCGUGCCAGCAGCCGCGGUAAUAC
rnacentral:rRNA from 1 species